CCUACGGGUGGCUGCAGUGGGGAAUAUUGGACAAUGGGCGAAAGCCUGAUCCAGCCAUGCCGCGUGUGUGAAGAAGGCCUUCGGGUUGUAAAGCACUUUCAGUGGGGAAGAAAGCCUUGGGGCUAAUACCCUCGAGGAAGGACAUCACCCACAGAAGAAGCACCGGCUAACUCCGUGCCAGCAGCCGCGGUAAUACGGAGGGUGCGAGCGUUAAUCGGAAUUACUGGGCGUAAAGCGCGCGUAGGCGGUCUGAUAAGCCGGUUGUGAAAGCCCCGGGCUCAACCUGGGAACGGCAUCCGGAACUGUCAGGCUAGAGUGCAGGAGAGGAAGGUAGAAUUCCCGGUGUAGCGGUGAAAUGCGUAGAGAUCGGGAGGAAUACCAGUGGCGAAGGCGGCCUUCUGGACUGACACUGACGCUGAGGUGCGAAAGCGUGGGUAGCAAACAGGAUUAGAUACCGUGUAGUC
rnacentral:rRNA from 1 species